CUACGGGUUGCUGCAGUGAGGAAUAUUGGUCAAUGGGCGCAAGCCUGAACCAGCCAUCCCGCGUGAAGGAAGAAUGCGCUAUGCGUUGUAAACUUCUUUUCCAGGGGAAGAAAUUCCGGUACGUGUACCGGAUUGACGGUACCCUGGGAAUAAGCAUCGGCUAACUCCGUGCCAGCAGCCGCGGUAAUACGGAGGAUGCAAGCGUUAUCCGGAUUGAUUGGGUUUAAAGGGUGCGUAGGCGGAUCAAUAAGUCAGUGGUGAAAACCUGCAGCUUAACUGUAGACUUGCCAUUGAUACUGUUGGUCUUGAGUGUGGUCAAGGUAGGCGGAAUGUGUAAUGUAGCGGUGAAAUGCUUAGAUAUUACACAGAACACCGAUUGCGAAGGCAGCUUACUGGGCCGUUACUGACGCUGAGGCACGAAAGCGUGGGGAUCGAACAGGAUUAGAUACCCUUGUAGUC
rnacentral:rRNA from 1 species